GACGAACGCUGGCGGCGUGCUUAACACAUGCAAGUCGAACGGAAAGGCCCUGCUUUUGUGGGGUGCCCGAGUGGCGAACGGGUGAGUAACACGUGAGUAACCUGCCCUUGACUUUGGGAUAACUUCAGGAAACUGGGGCUAAUACCGGAUAGGAGCUCCUGCUGCAUGGUGGGGGUUGGAAAGUUUCGGCGGUUGGGGAUGGACUCGCGGCUUAUCAGCUUGUUGGUGGGGUAGUGGCUUACCAAGGCUUUGACGGGUAGCCGGCCUGAGAGGGUGACCGGCCACAUUGGGACUGAGAUACGGCCCAGACUCCUACGGGAGGCAGCAGUGGGGAAUAUUGCACAAUGGGCGGAAGCCUGAUGCAGCAACGCCGCGUGCGGGAUGACGGCCUUCGGGUUGUAAACCGCUUUCGCCUGUGACGAAGCGUGAGUGACGGUAAUGGGUAAAGAAGCACCGGCUAACUACGUGCCAGCAGCCGCGGUGAUACGUAGGGUGCGAGCGUUGUCCGGAUUUAUUGGGCGUAAAGGGCUCGUAGGUGGUUGAUCGCGUCGGAAGUGUAAUCUUGGGGCUUAACCCUGAGCGUGCUUUCGAUACGGGUUGACUUGAGGAAGGUAGGGGAGAAUGGAAUUCCUGGUGGAGCGGUGGAAUGCGCAGAUAUCAGGAGGAACACCAGUGGCGAAGGCGGUUCUCUGGGCCUCUCCUGACGCUGAGGAGCGAAAGCGUGGGGAGCGAACAGGCUUAGAUACCCUGGUAGUCCACGCUGUAAACGGUGGGUACUAGGCGUGGGGUCCAUUCCACGGGUUCCGUGCCGUAGCUAACGCUUUAAGUACCCCGCCUGGGGAGUACGGCCGCAAGGCUAAAACUCAAAGGAAUUGACGGGGCCCCGCACAAGCGGCGGAGCAUGCGGAUUAAUUCGAUGCAACGCGUAGAACCUUACCUGGGUUUGACAUGGAUCGGGAGCGCUCAGAGAUGGGUGUGCCUCUUUUGGGGUCGGUUCACAGGUGGUGCAUGGCUGUCGUCAGCUCGUGUCGUGAGAUGUUGGGUUAAGUCCCGCAACGAGCGCAACCCUUGUUCACUGUUGCCAGCACGUUAUGGUGGGGACUCAGUGGAGACCGCCGGGGUCAACUCGGAGGAAGGUGGGGAUGACGUCAAGUCAUCAUGCCCCUUAUGUCCAGGGCUUCACGCAUGCUACAAUGGCUGGUACAGAGAGUGGCGAGCCUGUGAGGGUGAGCGAAUCUCGGAAAGCCGGUCUCAGUUCGGAUUGGGGUCUGCAACUCGACCUCAUGAAGUCGGAGUCGCUAGUAAUCGCAGAUCAGCAACGCUGCGGUGAAUACGUUCCCGGG
rnacentral:rRNA from 1 species